AAAAUCAAAAUAUUCUCAGGAUUUCUCCCCUUUUUCGCCCAGGAGCUCCAAAGCAUGUGGUCCUGUCCACCAUUAAACCUUCUUUCCAAG